UUACAGAGCACGGGCCCGUGGUUCUUGCUGCCCCUGUGGGAAGACAGCUGGGUUCGCACCAGUCUUUCUCCGUGAAGUCUUGGGACCGUGACCAGCAGCGUGCAGCAAUUCCAGUGACUGCCUGUAUCUGUGGUGUUGACGACAACUCACCUUUUUGUGAUCAGCGUCUGAUUAGUUCUGGAACAUCAUCCUCGGAUCUUACGAUAUAUGACCAGACAACUACAGAAAAAUUGAAUGUAAGUUAGUAUAAAUUAUUAUAAACAGGAUCCUGGUUUCUUUCCCCUUAUGGACGUUUGUCAUUUCAGAAGUACUCAGUAUUGAUUUCUGCAUAAUCUUUUGUUGAUGGAAACUCUUUACCAUAAAUUCUUACCUCCCUUUGCAUUCUCUUAAUUCUUUGGUGGUCUUCUAGCUCUAGGGAGUUCUAGAGUUAAAGGUGCAAUAUGAUGAGCCUUUAUGCAUAAGUUAAAUAGUUCACAAUUUUCUAAUUAUUUCUUUGCUUAUAAAUUGUAGAUCUGAAGCAGAGGGUCUGAUCAUUAGCUUUGAGGAUCCCUGAAGGAAAAGACCAAGAGCCUCUGUCUCUUUAUCAAAGGGAUCCAUGACUUUCCAAGGCUAACAACAACAAUCCUAGAUUUUAAAAUAGAGACGCAUUUAAAAAAAAAUAGACUAUUUUUUAGAGCAGUUUUAGGUUGAUAACAAAUUGAGCAGAAGAUACAGAGAUUGCCCAUGUACCUUCUACCCCCACACAUUCAUACUCUCCCCCAUUGUGGGCAUCUCCCACCUGAGUGAUACAUUUAUUGCAAUCAAUAAUACACUGAUAUAUUGAACCUACACUGAUAUAUUAUUAUUACCUGAAGUCCAGAGUUUACAUUACGGCUCACUCUUGCUGGUGUACAUUCUAUGGAUUUGGAUACUAUAAUGAGGGAUACCUCAUUAUAGUAUCACUCAGAGCAGUUUCACUGUCCUAAACAUCUUUCAUGCUCUGUCUAUUCAUCCUUGCCUUGCCCCUAACUCUUGGAAACCCCUGAUCUUUUCACUUUUGACUUUAGAGAGUGUCAUUUUUAAAAAAACUUGAAUUCAG
rnacentral:lncRNA from 1 species